UUGACUACGAAUCAAAAGGUCGCAGGUUCGAAUCCUGCCGGG
rnacentral:tRNA from 1 species